AGUGACUAACUGAUACGAAUUAAGCAAAGACCCGGGUAAGCUGUAAGACUGAAAUAUGGCCGAACAGGUCCGUACCUUGCUUAGAAUUUAAUUAUUUGGGAUUUUGUUAGGAAAGAUAGUAAAUAAUAUUGAUUUAUUUAUGUAUGUCUCAUUUGGGCUGGAGCAUCUCCUGAGAUACACUAGACUCGCACAUAUUUUGCAUAAUUCGCACACGAUUCAACACACGCUGUAUUACACACAAAAUAAGAAUGAUUACUAAUAAACUUAAACUAAGCAGUAUAGCAAACCAAAGAAUAUUAAACACAGAUAGGUAUAAAAUUAUUUUCUAUUACUGACCACAAUUUUACCCGAAUUUAAAUUCCGAACCUUUGGGUAAUAAUCUUGUUGCAUUGUAUGUUAAUGACCACCCUUGGAUAAUCCCAUUAAAAAGCAAUUUGUCACUUUCUUAUAUCUGUGAACAGACCAUAACGACGGAUUCCGUUCGCAUCCGCAUCUCUUUCGCUUGGGAAUAUGCCACAAGUUUCAAUCCAGUCCGUCCCUGGUAAACGAUAAAGUCCGAUCAUCGCUAAACUAAACAAAUCCUUUGACCUAACAAGCGAGAUCUCACCAAACAAUAACGGAAAAAAUCGCCAUUUAGAGUAUUAAUUCGGCACACACACAACAACAAAUAACGACUAAUAUCGCGUUUUGGCGUAUACGAUAGCGUAGUCGCGACGUAAAGCUUUUUCCGUAACGGUCGGAUCGCUGCACCCGCGUAAAAUAACGCAUUAGCAAUUUAAUAAUCGGUGAAAAAGUAUCGCCUUGAUCGCAUGUAAAUUAAUAACUAAACGCGUUAUCGUAGAGGCGACACCAGCGCCGUAUGGUGAUCUUCGCGGAUUAUACGUUCGCGGAAGUGUCGGUCGAUCUAGCGUGUACUUUUUGCGUCGUCCUGGGAUCGGAAAUCAAGGAGGCGAGUUCCGCGGCCCGCUUCGCGUAAAUUGGCAAUCGGUUUUUGCGGAUGAACUUUGCGAGAGUUCGCGCGGAAAUCUAUUAAAAAGUGUGUCGCCGACGCCGAAUUAAUCGGGAUUUUAAGGACUAGUUCUUCGAGGCGAAUCUUUUCGACACGGGCGGCACCAAAGGACGCUCAGCCCUUAUAAGAUGCAGGUCAACAACAAACCAAACCAAUAUAGCAACGCAGCAGCAAGCAUCGGAGAGAUGCGAAAGCGCUGGUACCUCAUAAUAAACCUAUCCGGAUUCGUAUCCUCAGACGAAUGAACCUUUAGGAUGCGCUUCAAUCUAUUUUGCUUCCUAGAAGUAUCUUUGGUAAUGGCGACCCGUGGCGCCUCGGUGUCCUGGUUCGGUACUAACCCAGAACAGGAACCCGCCGAACCUGACAUUUCUAGACACCCCAUCGCCACCGGGUUCGGAUUGAACGUCAGCCUCGACGAAGACUUGGAGUACAGAUCGAACAUCACCAUGGAGGACUGUACGAGGUUGUACAAAAGUGAGAUUAGUUCGGUGACGAAGUUGAAUCGUGGCGGAUUUUGCAACGUCACUUUCGAUUUGUUGUUGUGUUGGCCGCCUACACCACUGAACGGUACCGCGCAAGUGAAGUGCUUCUCGGAACUUUUGGGUAUCAGAUAUGACGAUUCUCAAAACGCUACACGGAAGUGUUUGUGGAACGGCACUUGGUCGAAAACGAACUACAGCCAGUGCAAGGAAAUCGAUCCUUUUCCAGUGGACAUCGUCAACACCCAGGUCAACAUUUACGUCACGGGAUUCGUGCUGAGUGCUUUUACUCUAGCGAUAGCAAUAUUUAUUUUCACCUACUUCAAAGAACUGAGAUGUCUACGAAACAAAAUCCACAUGAACUUGAUGUGGUCGUACGUGCUAACAUAUAUCAUGUGGAUUAUCAUUCUGGUAGAGAUGAAUUUUCGCAACCAGUUGGGUGUAGUGACGUGCGUAUUCGCGGUCACGUUGCUUCAUUAUUUCCACAUCACAACCUUCUUCUGGAUGUUCGUAGAAGGCUUGUACCUUUACAUUUUAGUCGUCAGAACUCUCACGAGGGAGAGCUUCAAAUUGAGGGUCUAUGCGGUAAUCGGAUGGGGUGCGCCGAUGUUUUUCAUCGUCCUUUGGGCCUUAGUUAAGGCUUUCGUCGUCGUCCCGAAGAAAAGUUCUUCUCCGGAAGAGUGCACCUGGUUCACAGCCCACCACAUAGACUACAUCUUCCAAGCGCCCACCCUCAUCGUGACCUUCGUCAACGUGGUGUUCUUGAUAUCGAUAAUGGUGGUGCUGGUGACCAAAUUGCGCUCCGCCAACACGCUGGAAAUCCAGCAGUACCGCAAGGCGAUGAAAGCACUCGCGGUCCUCAUUCCACUGCUGGGAGUGACUUACGCCAUCACCAUUUACAUGCCGUCGUUCACGCUCGUAGAUAUGGUAAGGGCGGCGCUGCUGUCUGUACAGGGUUUCAUGGUGGCGUUGUUCUACUGUUUCCUCAACAUGGAAGUGCAAAACACGCUCAAGCAUCACUUCGAAAACUGGAAGACCAAGAAAUCGCUGGGACCAAAUCGGCUCAGGUCGAGCAGUAGGAGCAAAGAUUGGUCUCCCAGGUCGAGGACCGAGAGUAUAAGUACGCAGAGAAUGACAGACUGGACGCUGCUUGCACCGGAAGACAUCGAGGAGAUGGCAAACAUACGUGAGUCGCAUGGCAACGGCUCGCUGCUUAAUCACCAUCACAAAUGACCUCCAGUUCGGGGGUUGAUAUCGCCGGGGCGCUGCUAAUUUUUCGACAUAGGGAAUCACGAUGAGCGGUAGGAAGAGCCCUGACCUUUGGACCGUGCCCACGUUGCCAACCAAAUGAAUAGCAUAAUAUUGUCGACGUUUCAACGCAGAAGACUGAUAUGCAAAGCCACACACAAAAAGAACCUUUUAUUAAAUAGUAUCUAAAGAACGGAUUCUAGAUCUAAGUAAAAUUUUUUCCAAAGAAGUAAAUUUAAGUUAAGAAGUUAAUUUAAUAGAAGCCAUGUUGAAUGAAAUACCUUUUCAUGCCGUCACACAAACAUCCCAAAAAAUUUUUAUAUCUGAAUGAACAUCGAAUUAUAAAUUUUAACCACGAUUUAGCUCUCUGUCUUAUGGGUAGUUGAAUAUUAGGAGAUGUGCUUUGGUUGUCUACGACACGCCCAGUUCAGAAGUGUCUUUAAUCAAAACAGGCUUUGUUCGGUAGGCUCUAUAGUCAACCUACCAAUUUCUACCACAAGAGGGAAUCUUGCACUUCCGAAGUGACCACCACGACCCUGGUGACGGUCAACGGCGGGCCCCAGGCCCGAGCCAGCCCCUUUUUGCAUCCCCC